GACGAACGCUGGCGGCGUGCUUAACACAUGCAAGUCGAACGGAAAGGCCCUGCUUUUGUGGGGUGCUCGAGUGGCGAACGGGUGAGUAACACGUGAGUAACCUGCCCUUGACUUUGGGAUAACUUCAGGAAACUGGGGCUAAUACCGGAUAGGAGCUCCUGCUGCAUGGUGGGGGUUGGAAAGUUUCGGCGGUUGGGGAUGGACUCGCGGCUUAUCAGCUUGUUGGUGGGGUAGUGGCUUACCAAGGCUUUGACGGGUAGCCGGCCUGAGAGGGUGACCGGCCACGUUGGGACUGAGAUACGGCCCAGACUCCUACGGGAGGCAGCAGUGGGGAAUAUUGCACAAUGGGCGGAAGCCUGAUGCAGCAACGCCGCGUGCGGGAUGACGGCCUUCGGGUUGUAAACCGCUUUCGCCUGUGAUGAAGCGUGAGUGACGGUAAUGGGUAAAGAAGCACCGGCUAACUACGUG
rnacentral:rRNA from 1 species